GCCGGGAUAGCUCAGUCGGUAGAGCAGGGGACU
rnacentral:tRNA from 1 species